UCCCUCCCACUGUGUCCUUUGUUAUCUGUGCUCCUCAAAUAUCAUUGGAGGGGUGCAGAUAACAAAGGACCCGGAAGGAGGGA